GUUCUAUAAUCGAUAAACCCCGAUAAACCUCACCAUCUCUUGUUAAUUCAGCCUAUAUACCGCCAUCUUCAGCAAACCCUAAAAAGGAAGAAAAGUAAGCACAAGUGUCUUAACACAAAAAAGUUAGGUCAAGGUGUAGCCUAUGAGAUGGGAAGCAAUGGGCUACAUUUUCUACAACUAGAACAUCCACGAAAAUCCUUAUGAAAUUAAGUAUUCAAGGAGGAUUUAGUAGUAAAUUUGAGAAUAGAGAGCUCAAUUGAAUCGGGCCAUGAAGCACGCACACACCGCCCGUCACCCUCUGCA
rnacentral:rRNA from 1 species